GACGAACNUUACAUGCAGUCGAGGGGCAUCGGGGGUGAAAGCUUGCUUUCACCUGCCGGCGACCGGCGCACGGGUGAGUAACACGUAUCCAACCUGCCUCAUACUCGGGGAUAGCCUUUCGAAAGAAAGAUUAAUACCCGAUGGCAUAGCCCUUUCGCAUGAUUGGGUUAUUAAAGAAUUUCGGUAUGAGAUGGGGAUGCGUUCCAUUAGAUAGUUGGUGAGGUAACGGCUCACCAAGUCCACGAUGGAUAGGGGUUCUGAGAGGAAGGUCCCCCACACUGGUACUGAGACACGGACCAGACUCCUACGGGAGGCAGCAGUGAGGAAUAUUGGUCAAUGGGCGAGAGCCUGAACCAGCCAAGUCGCGUGAAGGAUGAAGGAUCUAUGGUUUGUAAACUUCUUUUAUAUGGGAAUAAAGUGAGGAACGUGUUCCUUUUUGUAUGUACCAUAUGAAUAAGCAUCGGCUAACUCCGUGCCAGCAGCCGCGGUAAUACGGAGGAUGCGAGCGUUAUCCGGAUUUAUUGGGUUUAAAGGGUGCGUAGGUGGUUAAUUAAGUCAGCGGUGAAAGUUUGUGGCUCAACCAUAAAAUUGCCGUUGAAACUGGUUGACUUGAGUAUAUUUGAGGUAGGCGGAAUGCGUGGUGUAGCGGUGAAAUGCAUAGAUAUCACGCAGAACUCCGAUUGCGAAGGCAGCUUACUAAACUAUAACUGACACUGAAGCACGAAAGCGUGGGGAUCAAACAGGAUUAGA
rnacentral:rRNA from 1 species